rnacentral:RNase_P_RNA from 1 species
AGUCUGUCGGGCGAUCGCAGGGGAGAAAGACCUCGGAGGAAAGUCCGGACUCCAUAGGACGGUGUAGGAGGUAACGCCUCUCCGCCGCAAGGCGAGGAUUAGAGCUACAGAGACGAGCCGAUUUAGUUCGGGUGAAACGAGCAAUCUCUACACGGAGCAACAUCAAAUAGGCAGCUGCUGACCCUGUCCGGCGAGGCUGCGGGUAGAUGGCUCGAUCCCAAGGGUGACUUUGGGACUAGAUGAAUGACCGCCAAGGCGUUUUUCAACGCUGAACAGAAUCCGGCUUAUAGACGGACUU